CAAUCUUAACGAUGGAUGUCUUGGUUCCUACAGCGAUGAAGGCCGUAGCAAAAUACGAUAGACAAUGAAAAUUGCAAUUACUGUGAAUCAUCGGAAUGCUGAAUGUAAACUACACCAUUUACCUUUUAAGGUAAUGAUUAUCAUUAUAUGGUACUC
rfam:Plasmodium chabaudi chabaudi, WGS project CAAJ01000000 data, contig: PC_RP4677